AAACCAUGAAAUAGUAGUGCUCCGUAUCAGUUUCUUUCUUUUUUUAAUAACAAAAAUAAAAUUGAGUGUUUGGGAGAAAAAACAUGGGUGGGUGUUGUGUUAGUCUUUGUUUUCCUAAAAAUUAACUUUUCGUAAUAACUUUUCGUAGACACCUAUUGGGGAUCAAUGAAACACCUCACUAGCUCAAUCAAUAGUUUUCACUGAGAAUGUUAUUGAUGUGUGGAAAGAUCUUAAGAAACAUCUUUUAAAGGCUGAUUGAAUUAGAGUAUUAAAAUUAAGAUCUGAUAUUAACAAUUUGAAGCAAUGAUAUUCUUUUGUUGGUAAGCAUUUCACUGUACUAAGUAAGAAAAUGCAAUAGAGUUUAGAUUGCUAGAUCAAGUCAUGCAGUUUCUCACUGGAUUAUAUGUCCACAUUUUUCCAUCACUUAGUUCAUCACUACCAUCGACCGGUUAGUUCGAUUGUCAUUGUGGUCACUAUCUUCUUUUGUUAAUGGCAUAGUAUCAUACUCGAUAUAUACGUGUUGAUGCUCUUUUUGUAGUAGGAUAGGAACAAGCUAUGUAAUGAGAGACACUUGUAUUACUUGAUUAUGGAGAUGGUGCAAUAACACGUGGAGUUGUGUAUUUAGCACCAUUCCUUUGAUUUCAACUAGAAGGAAUGACUAAAAUCUUAACAUUCCUUUUACCACCAAAUCCUUUAGGAAUGGUUGAAUACA
rnacentral:lncRNA from 1 species